UACGGAGGGUGCAAGCGUUAUCCGGAUUCACUGGGUUUAAAGGGUGCGUAGGCGGAUUUUUAAGUCAGUGGUGAAAGCUUUGAGCUUAACUCAAAAACUGCCAUUGAUACUAUUAAUCUUGAAUACAGUUGAGGUGGGCGGAAUGUGUCAUGUAGCGGUGAAAUGCUUAGAUAUGACACAGAACACCAAUUGCGAAGGCAGCUCGCUAAACUGUUAUUGACGCUGAGGCACGAAAGCGUGGGGAUCAAACAGG
rnacentral:rRNA from 1 species